UUUUUUUUAAAAAAUCCUGUAGUCCACGCCGUAAACGAUGUCGAUUUGGAGGUUGUGCCCUUGAGGCGUGGCUUCCGGAGCUAACGCGUUAAAUCGACCGCCUGGGGAGUACGGCCGCAAGGUUAAAACUCAAAUGAAUUGACGGGGGCCCGCACAAGCGGUGGAGCAUGUGGUUUAAUUCGAUGCAACGCGAAGAACCUUACCUGGUCUUGACAUCCACAGAACUUUCCAGAGAUGGAUUGGUGCCUUCGGGAACUGUGAGACAGGUGCUGCAUGGCUGUCGUCAGCUCGUGUUGUGAAAUGUUGGGUUAAGUCCCGCAACGAGCGCAACCCUUAUCCUUUGUUGCCAGCGGUUCGGCCGGGAACUCAAAGGAGACUGCCAGUGAUAAACUGGAGGAAGGUGGGGAUGACGUCAAGUCAUCAUGGCCCUUACGACCAGGGCUACACACGUGCUACAAUGGCAUAUACAAAGAGAAGCGACCUCGCGAGAGCAAGCGGACCUCAUAAAGUAUGUCGUAGUCCGGAUUGGAGUCUGCAACUCGACUCCAUGAAGUCGGAAUCGCUAGUAAUCGUAGAUCAGAAUGCUACGGUGAAUACGUUCCCGGGCCUUGUACACACCGCCCGUCACACCAUGGGAGUGGGUUUCAACAAUGAGAGUAGGGAGCGGUGCCUUCAAGAGCCCGCUAACUCUUCUUUGUUAACCGG
rnacentral:rRNA from 1 species